rnacentral:tRNA from 1 species
GGAGAGAUGGCUCAGUGGACUAAAGUGUAAGAUUGCUAAUCCGUUGUAUGAGUUUUUCGUACCAAGGGUUCAAAUCCCUCUCAUUCCA